rnacentral:hammerhead_ribozyme from 1 species
AUCCAGUUGACGAGUCCCGAAUAAAACGAAACGUGAGUCCUGGAU